CCUUCCUCCUCUGCGCCCGCUCACUCCUUCGAGGCUUCCUGCUGCAGAACGUGAGGCUUCUGCGUCAUGUGUGCCGGUGUCCUCCCCGCCUGGCCCUGGGGCAAUAAAAGCCAGGGCUUUGAGGGUCCUGUGCCUGGUCAGGCCCUCACCCCGCCUGCCUUCUGCAGGAGUUUGUGGGGUUCAUGUGGCGGCAGCGGGGACGGGUCAUCAGCCUGUGGGAGCGGCUGGAAUUUGUCAAUGGCUGGUACAUCCUGCUCGUCACCAGCGAUGUGCUCACCAUCUCGGGCACCAUCAUGAAGAUCGGCAUCGAGGCCAAGAACUUGGCGAGCUACGACGUCUGCAGCAUCCUCCUGGGCACCUCGACGCUGCUGGUGUGGGUGGGCGUGAUCCGCUACCUGACCUUCUUCCACAACUACAAUAUCCUCAUCGCCACACUGCGGGUGGCUCUGCCCAGCGUCAUGCGCUUCUGCUGCUGCGUGGCUGUCAUCUACCUGGGCUACUGCUUCUGUGGCUGGAUCGUGCUGGGGCCCUAUCAUGUGAAGUUCCGCUCGCUCUCCAUGGUGUCUGAGUGCCUGUUCUCGCUCAUCAACGGGGACGACAUGUUCGUGACGUUCGCCGCCAUGCAGGCGCAGCAGGGCCGCAGCAGCCUGGUGUGGCUCUUCUCCCAGCUCUACCUGUACUCCUUCAUCAGCCUCUUCAUCUACAUGGUGCUCAGCCUCUUCAUCGCGCUCAUCACCGGCGCCUACGACACCAUCAAG
rnacentral:sRNA from 1 species